AUGCUCCAGACAGUGAGUAACCCCCCGGGCUUGUGCAUCAGUGCUAAAACCAUUCCAGAGAGAAAGCUGAUAUAUUCCUGCCCUGGCGCCACAGACCCUGUUCCAGAGAGGAAGCUGAUGUAUUCAGGCAAUGGUAUACUGGACCCUGCUCCAGAGCGUAGGUACAGGCAGGCCUAUUUUUCCAGGUAUAGGUGGAAAUGGAGGAAGAAGUCCCAAAAAAAAACACAGCCGUUGCCGCCAGCCCCACCUCUGCCACCAUAUGAGGAAGAAAACUGGGAGGACGAGAUGGGAAUCGUAGAGACGUAUGGAUUUGCUCCAUAUGGCCCAGAGGAUGUGGAUAGAGUGGCCCUACAGGGGUUGACCCUGAACCAGGCCCCCUGCCCUCCCCACCCCCAGACAGCAACCGACUACAGCCCUGCCACCCACCACCAAGCCCCCAUCAAAUGGGUCCGCCACAUCAUCCGCAGCGUGGAGGAGCAGUUUGUCGACGCAGAGGUUUGAGGAUUAUUUUCCUGCUGUAGCAAACUGCCGACCCCUCCCACACUCUACACCCUCAGUUUGAGAGACUUCCCUCUGGCCGCCGCUUCAGAAUGCCCAUAGCCAGGAAGAACGUGUUCAAACAUUCCUUUGUUCCUUGUGCCUAUGGACUACUAAAUGCAAAGUAAAUUGUAUCUGUAUAUGCACUUCUCUAUCCAGUGAGUGAGCGAACAUAUCAAUGUCCACUAUGUUUUUAGUGUAUGAAAUGUGAUGGACUGACUGGUUUAAAUGUGUAUGAUGUGAAAAUGUAUGUGAUCCUUUUAAUGGAAGGUGAUGCCAAAGAACAACAACAUCCAUCCUGGACGAACAAAGUGUUAUUCUAAAUUUAAGAUCCUACAUCUGUAGGCCAAUCUACAUUCUACAG
rnacentral:lncRNA from 13 species